rnacentral:rRNA from 1 species
GACGAACGCUGGCGGCGUGCUUAACACAUGCAAGUCGAACGGAAAGGCCCUGCUUUUGUGGGGUGCUCGAGUGGCGAACGGGUGAGUAACACGUGAGUAACCUGCCCUUGACUUUGGGAUAACUUCAGGAAACUGGGGCUAAUACCGGAUAGGAGCUCCUGCUGCAUGGUGGGGGUUGGAAAGUUUCGGCGGUUGGGGAUGGACUCGCGGCUUAUCAGCUUGUUGGUGGGGUAGUGGCUUACCAAGGCUUUGACGGGUAGCCGGCCUGGGAGGGUGACCGGCCACAUGGGGACGGGGAACCGCCCAGGACUCCUCCGGGCGGCAGAGGUGGGAAAUUUUCCGCAAGGGGCGGAGGCCGGAUGCAGCAACGCCGGGUCCGGAAGGACGGCUUUCGGGUUGUAACCGCUUUCGCCUGUGACGAAGCGUGAGUGACGGUAAUGGGUAAAGAAGCACCGGCUAACUACGUG